GUCCCAUAUAGGCUUCUCAGCUAAGAUCAAGUGUAGUCUCUGUUCUUACCAGUUUAAUUACUGAGGCAGAAAAUACACCUUCUAGAACACUCAACUUGCUUUUCUGAAGAAGACUACUGCUUUGAAGAUGGAUUCUACUGCUACUGCUUCAAAAGAAAAUCUU
ensembl:snRNA U2 U2 spliceosomal RNA